UCAUGUUCUGAUCUUCAAAGCGAUUACAUGAAACAUAUUUUCCCAGUGAAAUCCCGUACUCUCAUGACUGAGAUGCAAAUCUGGCUUAACAUGCCAUUUUGUAAGAGACAUCAGGUGUUCUCCAGAACCGAGGGUAGGGUCCGCGUGGAGCAGCGCGUGGACAGCAGCAGCUUCGUGAUCGAGAGUGCUGAGAGGGCCGACGAGGGCCGCUACACCAUCAAGGUCACCAACCCCGCGGGCGAUGAUGUGGCCUCCAUCUUCCUGCGGGUCGUGGGAGCCGGCAAGAAGGCGGAAGUGGAGCAGAAGAAGAAGACGAUUUUCCGCAAGUUCACCUGCCGCAGCGUGGACCUGGACCAGCUGCUGGACAUGUCCUACGAGCAGCUGAUGCAGCAGCAGAGCGCACGGCGGCAGCUGAACCAAAGCCUGCGGCGGAAGUAGCACUCGCUGCUCAAGCUGCUGCACAAGGCCAAGACGGAGGCGACCCCCAUGGAAAAGCCCAAGGUAGGGAAGACGCACUUGUGCGACAUGAUCAUCCUGCCGGAGAUGGUGGGCAGCAUGGUGGGCAGCAUGGUGGGCGUGUACAACGGCAAGACCUUCAAUCAGGUGGAGAUCAAGCCGAAGAUGAUUGGCCACUACCUGGGUGAGUUCUUCAUUACCUACAAGCCUGUGAAGCACGGCCGGCCUGGCAUCGGUGCCACCUACUCCUCCCGCUUCAUCCCAUUCAAGUGGUCGCUGCCAAUAAAGGCACGCCUGUCCAAAAAAAAAAGGCAGGGUCCUACCUAUACCUUAAAGUUGUAA